rnacentral:rRNA from 1 species
GACGAAGGGGGCUAGCGUUGUUCGGAAUUACCGGGCGUAAAGCGAGUGUAGGCGGUUGCCCAAGUCAGGUGUGAAAGCCUUGAGCUCAACUCAAGAAAUGCACUUGGUACUGGGUGGCUAGAGGACCGGAGAGGAUAGUGGAAUUCCCAGUGUAGUGGUGAAAUACGUAGAGAUUGGGAAGAACACCAGUGGCGAAGGCGGCUAUCUGGACGGUUACUGACGCUAAGACUCGAAAGCGUGGGGAGCAAACAGG